rnacentral:misc_RNA from 1 species
GAUGAAGAACGUAGCGAAAUGCGAUAAGUAGUGUGAAUUGCAGAAUUCAGUGAAUCAUCGAAUCUUUGAACGCACAUUGCGCCCCUUGGUAUCCCGAGGGGCUUGCCUGUUCGAGCGUCAUUUCACCACUCAAGCCUGGCUUGGUGUUGGGCGACGUCCUCUUUGGGGACGCGCCUCGAAACGCUCGGCGGCGUGGCACCGGCUUUAAGCGUAGCAGAAUCUUUCGCUUUGGAAGUCGGGGCCCCGUCUGCCGGAAGACCUGCUCGCAAGGUUGACCUCGGAUCAGGCAGGGAUACCCGCUGAACUUAAGCAUAUCAAUAAGCGGAGGA